rnacentral:rRNA from 1 species
CCAAUCGAACCCGGAGAUAGCUGGUUCUCCUCGAAAUAGCUUUAGGGCUAGCCUCAUGGAUCAUUGGUGGGGGUAGAGCACUGAAUGUGCGCGGGGGCCACAAAGCCUACCAAACGCUAUCAAACUUCGAAUACCAUACAAUGCAGACCAUGGGAGUCAGUCCGCGAGAGAUAAGUUCCGCGGGCAAAAGGGGAACACCCCAGAUCAACCGCUAAGGUCCCCAAGUUCACGUUAAGUGGAGAAGGAUGUGGAAUUGCACAGACAACCAGGAUGUUGGCUCAGAAGCAGCCACACAUUUAAAGAGUGCGUAAUAGCUCACUGGUCGAGUGAUUGUGCGCCGAAGAUGUCCGGGGCUAAACGUGACACCGAAGCGAUGGGUGCAUCUGAAAGGAUGCGCGGUAGAGGAGCAAUGUGCAGAGGCAGAAGCCGUAUCGAGAGGCACGGUGGACACUGCACAAGAGAGAAUGCCGGUAUGAGUAGCGAGAGGCAUGCGAGAAACAUGCCCGUCGAAAGCCCAAGGUUUCCUGGGGAAGGUUCAUCCGCCCAGGGUAAGUCGGGGCCUAAGCCGAGGACGGAAGUCGUAGGCGAUGGACAGCAGGUGUAGAUUCCUGCACUACCGAUGGAAUGAAGCAGUGACACAGAAGGAUAACUCGAGCAGGGUGAUGGUCAACCCUGUGCAAGCAUCAAGGUUGGGUUGUAGUGAAGUACGCAACCCUAUAAGCUGAGGUGUGAUGCGGACCGAAAUUUCAGUAGGGAAGCGAGUGAGUUCACGCUGGCGAGAAAAGCUGCUAGUACAUCCAAAGGUACCCGUACCGGAAACCGACGCAGGUGGGCGAGGAGAGAAUCCUGAGACGAACGGGAGAACCCUUGUUAAGGAACUCGGCAAAAUGACCCCGUAACUUCGGGAUAAGGGGUGCCUGCGAGAGCAGGCCGCAGAGAAUAGUCACAAGCGACUGUUUAGCAAAAACACAGGUAUCUGCGAAAGCGAGAGCUGACGUAUAGGUGCUGACACCUGCCCGGUGCUGGAAGGUUAAGGGAACAUGUUAGAGCAAUCGAAGCAUCGAACCGAAGCCCCAGUAAACGGCGGCCGUAACUAUAACGGUCCUAAGGUAGCGAAAUUCCUUGUCGGGUAAGUUCCGACCCGCACGAAUGGUGUAACGACUUGUGAGCUGUCUCAACAGGGGGCCCGGUGAAAUUGAAGUAUGGGUGAAGAUGCCCAUUACCCGCGACUGGACGGAAAGACCCCGUAGAGCUUUACUGCAGCCUGAUAUUGAGUUUCGGUAACUGAUGCACAGGAUAGGUGGGAGUCUGAGAGACAUGGGUUUCGGCUCAUGUGGAGACGGUGUUGGGAUACCACUCUUCGGUUACUGAAAUUCUAACAUAGCUCUGUGAAACCAGAGGAUGGACAGUGUCAGGUGGACAGUUUGACUGGGGCGGUCGCCUCCGAAAGAGUAACGGAGGCGCCCAAAGGUACCCUCAGAAUGGAUGGAAACCAUUCGAAGAGCGCAAAGGCAGAAGGGUGCCUGACUGCGAGAUUGACAAAUCGAGCAGAGACGAAAGUCGGGCUUAGUGAUCCGGCGGUAUUGAGUGGAAAAGCCGUCGCUUAACGGAUAAAAGCUACCUCGGGGAUAACAGGCUGAUCUCCCCCAAGAGUCCACAUCGACGGGGAGGUUUGGCACCUCGAUGUCGGCUCGUCGCAUCCUGGGGCUGAAGCAGGUCCCAAGGGUUUGGCUGUUCGCCAAUUAAAGCGGCACGCGAGCUGGGUUCAGAACGUCGUGAGACAGUUCGGUCCCUAUCCAUCGUGGGCGUAGGAGUCAUGAGAGGAGCUGUUCCUAGUACGAGAGGACCGGAAUGGACGCACCACUGGUGCAACUGUUGUCGUGCCAACGGCAUAGCAGGGAAGCGAAGUGCGGAUGGGAUAAACGCUGAAGGCAUCUAAGCGUGAAGCCCACCUCAAGAAUAAGACUCCACAAUAGACCCCUGGAGGACUACCAGGUAGAUAGGUCAUCGGUGGAAGCGUUGUAAGGCGUGUAGCUUGAUGAUACUAAUCGGUCGAAAGCUUCAUUUA